UGGGUAACCUGCCUCAAAGAGGGGAAUAGCCUCCCGAAAGGGAGAUUAAUACCGCAUAAUAUGUCUAAGUCGCAUGACUUUAACAUCAAAGGAUUCUCUUCGGAGAUUCCACUUUGAGAUGGACCCGCGGCGCAUAGCUAGUUGGUGAGGUAACGGCUCACCAAGGCAACGAUGCGUAGCCGACCUGAGAGGGUGAUCGGCCACAUUGGAACUGAGACACGGUCCAGACUCCG
rnacentral:rRNA from 1 species